GCACGUAAAAUUUGAGUGUCCAAAGAGCAAGAAAAGUGAAGACAAGAAGGAAAGAAAAUUUCAAAAGAAAAAGAAAGCUUACAUAGCUUGNGAGGAUAAUGCUUCUAGCUCAACAAGCUCAAGUGACACAGAAGAAGAAGCCAACUUAUGCCUUAUGGCAGAUUCUGAAGAUACAGGAAGCUAAGUAAGUGAUUCCAACUUUGAAUCUAAUGAAUUAGAUUUACAAAAGGCUUUCUUUGAUUUGAUGAAUGAAUC
rnacentral:lncRNA from 1 species